rnacentral:rRNA from 1 species
CCUACGGGAGGCAGCAGUGGGGAAUAUUGCACAAUGGGCGAAAGCCUGAUGCAGCAACGCCGCGUGAGUGAUGAAGGCCUUCGGCUUGUAAAGCUCUGUCUCCUGGGACGAUAAUGACGGUACCAGAGGAGGAAGCCACGGCUAACUACGUGCCAGCAGCCGCGGUAAU